CGGUUGAUCCUGCCGGACCCUACCGCUAUCGGGGUGGGACUAAAACAUGCAAGUCGAGCGUCUCCCAAGCUGUUGUGGAGGCGCGGCGCAAAACUCAGUAACACGUGGCCUUCCUGCCCUUGGGACGGGGAUACCCUCGGGAAACUGGGGCUAAUCCCCGAUAGGUGAAGAAGCCUGGAAUGGUUCUUCACCGAAAAGGCGUUAGAGGCAUGCUCUCUAACGCCGCCCAAGGAUGGGGCCGCGUCCGAUCAGGUUGUUGGUGAGGUAACGGCUCACCAAGCCUAUAACCGGUACGGGCCGUGAGAGCGGAAGCCCGGAGAUGGGCACUGAGAUAAGGGCCCAGGCCCUACGGGGCGCAGCAGUUGCGAAAACUCGCCAAUGCACGAAAGUGUGAGCGGGCUACCCCGAGUGCCGUCCGCUGAGGAUGGCUUUUCUCCGCUGUAAGGAGGCGGAGGAAUAAGGAGAGGGCAAGACUGGUGUCAGCCGCCGCGGUAAUACCAGCUCUCCGAGUGGUAGGGGUGAUUAUUGGGCUUAAAGCGUCCGUAGUCGGCCUAGCAAGUCUUUCGUUAAAUCCAGCAACCUAAUUGUUGGGCUGCGGAGGAUACUGUUAGGCUAGGGGGCGGGAGAGGCCGACGGUAUUCUCGGGGUAGGGGUGAAAUCUUAUAAUCCCGGGAGGACCACCAGUGGCGAAGGCUGUCGGCUAGCACGCGCCUGACGGUGAGGGACGAAAGCUGGGGGAGCGAACCGGAUUAGAUACCCGGGUAGUCCCAGCUGUAAACGAUGCGGGCUAGGUGUUGGGGCGGCUACGAGCCGCUCCAGUGCCGCAGCGAAGGCGUUAAGCCCGCCGCCUGGGGAGUACGGCCGCAAGGCUGAAACUUAAAGGAAUUGGCGGGGGAGCAC
rnacentral:rRNA from 1 species